AGCUUUUACAGUGGCAGUAUCAUAGCCAAUGAGGUUUAUCUGAGGCAUGAUUAUUGCUAAUUGAAAACUUUAUUUCUUGGGAAAAUAGAAUAUAGCUAUAUCGCUGACAUAGAUGCCCAAGUUACUGUUUUAAAAUAAGUUUA